GCUGGCGUAGCUCAGUUGGUAGAGCACCCCAUUCGUAAUGGGGAUGUCGUAGGUUCGACUCCUAUCGCCAGCACCA
rnacentral:tRNA from 1 species